rnacentral:lncRNA from 1 species
CCCAAACUUCUCGGUUCUUCCAUUAUGUUCAUACCACAAUGGCAUAUGGUUUUCCAGUUGGAUUUGUGCACUGGAAAAGGUAAACUUUAAUCAGUACUUUCAUUUACCCUUGUUAUUUUGAGGACUAAUACCGUAGAGGUGGCAAAACGGGUGGGUUGGAUAAUGGGCCACUAACGGUUGGAUUUGGUUGAACCAAUACACUUUACCCAUAACUUUUAAUCCAUUUAUAAACAUUUAGUGUGCCAAAUAGGAUCAAUUUAUGUUAUUUCAGUGAUGUUUGGGGUGGUUUUAUAAACUAAGCAUACACUUUGAGCUGUUUUUAACCACUCAUAUUCUGAUAUCUACUUAAAAUUUUUAACAUUAUUUAUGUAUAAUUUGGUUCAAAAGCUAUAUCGAACAUCAUA